UCUCUUAGUUAGGAGUGAUUCAGGACUAAUUCGAAAACUCGAGAAUUUUUUUUUUGCGAACUCAAUAUAACUCCUUUAUAAAUAUCUAGCCUUCCCUGCAAUUUCAACCGCAACCAAUUUACAAUCAAUAUGGAAACCAAUACAUUUUCACAUUCAAACAUAUUUAAAUCAUGCCUAAAACAUUUACUUAUCAAAUUGAUCAACAACAUUCAUAAUACUAUAUAAAAGUUAACUAAUAAACUUCGUUCAUUUCAUUUCAAUUUUAGUACCAAACUAACUCAAAAGUAUAUCAAUUUAACUUACUAUAACCAUCAAUUCAUCUUAAGUUCAAACAUGCAUUUUCUCAACACUUAAACAACCAAUUCAUAUGGCCAAAUACACACCAACCUUUAUAAGCUAAAUCUAAUGGCUAAUAUCAUAACUCAAAACAUACCAAGAUGACACUAGCCUAUACAUGCCAUAUACCAUAUAUAUACAAUUCAAAAGUACCAACUUAGAUGUCCGAUAAGGUGGUGAUGUUCCUGACGACUUUUGGAUCCGAGCUAGCCUUGAUUCUCUAUAAAACAUAAGAAAAUAACACAAAGUAAGCUUCAUAGCUUAGUAAGCUCAUAAGUGAAUAAUUCAAUACAUCAAAUACAUACAAUUCAACUAAUUGUCCAUAACAUUACCAUAUAUACAAUUACAACAAACCUUUCUCAUGUCUUAAAACAUGAUCAAAUACCAUUUCAUUAUCUUUCUCUAUUAAAUACUCGAAUAGGUUCUGUAUGUACCUGUACCGUCUCGUACUAACCUCUUUCUCAAUCAUCUCAUUCAUUUACCCGUUGAACCAUUCGGAAUCGAAAUCGGAUACUCAAAUGUCUCAUAUGAUAAAUACCUAUACCAUGUCCCAUAGCCAAAUCAAGGUAACUUCUCCAAAGAACUAUUAUCAUGGCCCGAAGCCAAAUCGAUAUAAAUCACACUCGAAGUGCUAAUAUCAUGGCCCGAAGCCAACUCAUCCUAUAUGCAUGGCCCGAAACCAAAUCGGUAUAUCAACUUAUAACAUUUCACAAGUAUCCAAUUUUAUUCCUAAGGUUCAACCGAGAUUUCUAGCUUGUCGAUUCUAUCUUCGAAUAUAUCCGUAAAGUCAUAUUUACAAUUCAUACAUUAAUGAAAAUCUCGUAAUCACAAUUUAGGCAUAAUCAAAUAAUUUAACAUACAUUAUAAUGAAAUCAUCACAUUACGAACUUACCUCGUACUCGGAAUUGACGAAUCGGAUCGAUUACUCGAUAAUUUUUCCUUUCCCCUAAUCUAAUUCCGAAUUCCUCUUUUCUUAAUUUAUAUGUAUUCAAAAUUAACUCAUUUAAUCAUAUAAUCAUUAAAUUCAGUCCAAAAACACAUAUUUAAGCCAAUUUAUACUUUGGCCCUAAACUUUCACAUUUCUUACAAUUUAGUCCCUAUUUCACAAAUACACAAAAUUCAUAAAAUUCAACAAGAGCCAUGCUUGGCCGAAUUACCAUAGUGCCCCUAGCAACCCAUAUUUCAUAUUUAUUCACACUUUUAACCCCACAUUUUUAUCUUUUCAUAAUUUAAUCCCUAAUUUGCAUUUUCAUCAAAAAAACCACUUUAUAAAAUAUGAAAAUCUAACAUCAAAUAUUCAUAUUCACCAUUAAACAUCAAAGAACACAUAAGCUCAUCAAUGGAAACUAUCAAAAUCUUUAAUAGUUUUGAAAUCGAAGGCACGGGCUAGCUAGUACUAGAUGCAACGAUCACAAAAACAUAGAAAUAAUUAAAAACUGAAUAAAAAUGCAUACCAAAUAGGCAAGAAUGAGAUUGCCGAAUGCUUAAGCAUAAAAAUAGCUUCCAAAUCCCUAACUUUCGGUUGAAAGUGAUGAAAGAAAG
rnacentral:lncRNA from 1 species